UGUUAAAACCACUAGGGAGAGAACUAAAACAUGCAGGAUGCCGGCCCUUGAGGACCGACUUGACACCCCUGCACUAAAUGGUUUGGUUCGCCUACCGUUUUAUAACCGCGGGUGGGGCUACCAGGAGCUAGCUGCUGUCUAGUCUGUAUCUCCAUGAACAGAACUUACUCACUGAGGAAACCGUAAAAAAAAAGCCAGGUCGUCAGGGAGGCUGGUGUCUACCUCCAGGAGUCAACGGACGAGAGACGGGCUAUCGGGACAUCUUGCCAGUCUAUUGCAGGCUUCACAGAGGAGGAAAGGCCAACCUUGUCAUUGGAAAAGGAGAUACACGAACAAAUGUAUUCAGGUGAGA